rnacentral:rRNA from 1 species
GACGAACGCUGGCGGCGUGCCUAACACAUGCAAGUCGAACGGAGAUACGAUUUCGGUUGUAUCUUAGUGGCGAACGGGUGAGUAACGCGUGAGCAACCUGACCUUUAGAGGGGGAUAACACUUGGAAACAGGUGCUAAUACCGCAUAAGACCACGACCUGACAUCAGGAUGAGGUCAAAGGAGUAAUCCGCUAGAGGAGGGGCUCGCGUCCCAUUAGAUAGAUGGCGGGGUAACGGCCCACCAUGUCGACGAUGGGUAGCCGAGCUGAGAGGCUGAUCGGCCACACUGGAACUGAGACACGGUCCAGACUCCUACGGGAGGCAGCAGUGGGGAAUAUUGGGCAAUGGGCGCAAGCCUGACCCAGCAACGCCGCGUGAGGGAAGAAGGCCUUCGGGUUGUAAACCUCUGUCCUUGGUGACGAACAAAUGACGGUAGCCAAGGAGGAAGCCCCGGCUAACUACGUG